UCACUUUUGAUGCUGACCACAUUAUCCAUCGCUGCAUAGUCGAAGGCCCGUUCUUUCGCCAGCCGGCCGACCACCCACAUCCGAAAAAUUAACGGAAGAGAUCUACAAAGAUAGGUUACAAAUCAAGUUAGAGGAGAGUAGAAAACAACCAAAACUCCAAACGAUCGCGACUGUGAAUACCGGCCAAAUCUCCCCCUUGGAAGAUGUUGAUGUGCUGGGAACUGAGAUUGAAGAAGCCAUAAAAGUGUUGAAGUUGAUAGUUGCAGUGCAGGAGAAAACAUGUUUCAUCAUUGCACUUACUGGGAUGAGAGGUCUAAUCUCCCUGCACUAUACGAACUUACUGUAGAAGCGUACACAUUACUUAAAGAGAAACUAGAUUCUCUUCGGCACUGCAGCUGACUGGAAUCCGAAAAUGACUGAAAUUUCUGCUUGAAGAACGAAAGCCCGCUAAUGUUGACGAUGAUUUUUGCUUAACAAUCAUUUCUGAUGGCACAACCCGACAUAUAAUAAUGCAGAUCCCACAGUUCAUCACAUAUAACCAAGAGCGAAGCCCUGUUAUAUGCGGUCUGUCUGGCAUCUCUAUUCUGGAAAGAAAAAGAGUUCUGCAAGUUGAAGAAGACUGAAGGUUAGGACUGCAAAAAUUUACUAAAAAGAAGCAAAAUUCAAGAAGAAAAAAGGGCCAUAUUUCAGGUCUGUAACUUCAUUUCUCACAAACAUGUUAUAUUUCCUUACUGUCACAUUGCAUUAUAUCUUGUUAAAACUACUACUUUUACUUCAUCAAACUGUUAUAGAUAUUAUUAAAAUACAAAUCAUAAUAGCUAGGAUGAACUAAGGAAACAUCAUGAACAAUCAUAUUGUUCCAAAGAAGGAAGAAACAAAAAAAAAAAAAAAAGAAAAAAAAAAGAAGAAGGGCAUCUUACAUCCCACACCAACAUUCUAUUCUACAUUUAGGAUGAGGAGACUUUUAAUUAGCUAUAACCACUAUAGCCAAACUCUGGUAGCUUGGGUCAAUACAACCACUUUCAUCGGAGAGGUGGGCAUAUCAUUGAGUCAUGCAACUAACUAAAGGAAGACAUUGAGAAAUUGAUUUGAGAAGGUUGCCUUAAAUGUUUUGCCCAAGACCAACAUGUCCGUGCUGACACUAAUCUAACUGAAAGGCAAUAACUGCAAAAGUAUUAGCAGGGUAGUUGUCAAAUUGUCAGUUAAAUUGAGGUUGUAAUUGGACCAUUACUAUCAGGUAAGUUUUGAUCAUUGUACUAGA